UACAGAGGUCUCAAGCGUUGUUCGGAUUCAUUGGGCGUAAAGGGUGCGUAGGUGGCGGGGUUAGUCAGGUGUGAAAUCUCGGGGCUCAACCCCGAAACUGCACUUGAUACUGCCUUGCUUGAGUACUGGAGAGGAGAUUGGAAUUUACGGUGUAGCAGUGAAAUGCGUAGAUAUCGUAAGGAAGACCAGUGGCGAAGGCGGGUCUCUGGACAGUUCCUGACGCUGAGGCACGAAGGCCAGGGGAGCAAACGGG
rnacentral:rRNA from 1 species